rnacentral:tRNA from 1 species
GUGGGCGUAGUUCAGCUGGUAGAACGCCUGGUUGUGGUCUAGGAGGUCGCGGGUUCAAGUCCCGUCGUUCACCCCA